GAUGAACGCUGGCGGCGUGCUUAACACAUGCAAGUCGAACGGAAAGGCUCCUGCUUGCAGGGGUACUCGAGUGGCGAACGGGUGAGUACCACGUGGGUGAUCUGCCCUGCACUUCGGGAUAAGCCUGGGAAACUGGGUCUAAUACCGGAUAGGACGAUGGUUUGGAUGCCAUUGUGGAAAGUUUUUCGGUGUGGGAUGAGCUCGCGGCCUAUCAGCUUGUUGGUGGGGUAAUGGCCUACCAAGGCGUCGACGGGUAGCCGGCCUGAGAGGGUGUACGGCCACAUUGGGACUGAGAUACGGCCCAGACUCCUACGGGAGGCAGCAGUGGGGAAUAUUGCACAAUGGGCGCAAGCCUGAUGCAGCGACGCCGCGUGGGGGAUGACGGCCUUCGGGUUGUAAACUCCUUUCGCUAGGGACGAAGCGCAAGUGACGGUACCUGGAGAAGAAGCACCGGCUAACUACGUG
rnacentral:rRNA from 1 species